rnacentral:rRNA from 1 species
GACGAACGCUGGCGGCGUGCCUAACACAUGCAAGUCGAACGGAGAUAUGAUUUCGGUUGUAUCUUAGUGGCGAACGGGUGAGUAACGCGUGAGCAACCUGACUCUUAGAGGGGGAUAACACCCGGAAACGAGUGCUAAUACCGCAUAAGACCACGACAUGGCAUCAUGACGAGGUCAAAGGAGCAAUCCGCUGAGAGAGGGGCUCGCGUCCCAUUAGAUAGAUGGCGGGGUAAUGGCCCACCAUGUCAGCGAUGGGUAGCCGAGCUGAGAGGCUGAUCGGCCACACUGGAACUGAGACACGGUCCAGACUCCUACGGGAGGCAGCAGUGGGGAAUAUUGGGCAAUGGGCGCAAGCCUGACCCAGCAACGCCGCGUGAGGGAAGAAGGCUUUCGGGUUGUAAACCUCUGUCCUUGGUGACGAAAAAUGACGGUAGCCAAGGAGGAAGCCCCGGCUAACUACGUGCCAGCAGCCGCGGUAAAACGUAGCGU